AACGAACGCUGGCGGCGUGCCUAAUACAUGCAAGUCGAACGCACAGUUUAUACCGUCGCUCGCUACACCAUAGCCAGUGAGUUGCGAACGGGUGAGUAACGCGUAGCUAACCUGCCUGGUAGCGUGGGGUAACUAUAGGUAACGAUAGCUAAUACCGCAUCAUAUUGAUUAUUCCAUGGUAAUUAAUUGAAUGGUGCAAUUGCACCACUACCAGAUGGACCUGCGGUGUAUUAGCUAGUAGGUGAGGUAACGGCUCAACUAGGCGAAGAUACAUAGCCGACCCUGGAGGGUGAUCGGCCAACAUGGGACUGAGACACGGCCCAGAACCCUACGGGAGGGAGCAGGAGGGGAUUUUUGGACAUGGAAGAAAGUCUGAACGCGGCAAGCCGGGGGAGUGAAGGAGGGUUUCGGGUCGGAAAAGUCUGUUGUUAGGGAAGGAAGGGUGGGAGAGUGGAAAGUCCACAUUGUGACGGUACCUUAACAGAAAGCGACGGCUAACUACGUG
rnacentral:rRNA from 1 species